AGUCGUGGGGCAGCAGGUCUGUAGCAAUACAGGCGCUGGCGACCGGCAAACGGGUGCGGAACACGUACACAACCUUCCUUUAAGUGGGGAAUAGCCCGGGGAAACCCGGAUUAAUACCCCGUAAUAUAAUGAAGUGGCAUCGCUUUAUUAUUAUAGCUCCGGCGCUUGAAGAUGGGUGUGCGACUGAUUAGGCAGUUGGCGGGGUAACGGCCCACCAAACCUACGAUCAGUAACUGGUGUGAGAGCACGACCAGUCACACGGGCACUGAGACACGGGCCCGACUCCUACGGGAGGCAGCAGUAAGGAAUAUUGGUCAAUGGACGCAAGUCUGAACCAGCCAUGCCGCGUGGAGGAUGAAGGUCCUCUGGAUUGUAAACUUCUUUUAUCUGGGAAGAAAUCCACAAAUUCUUUUGUGGUUGACGGUACCAGAUGAAUAAGCACCGGCUAACUCCGUGCCAGCAGCCGCGGUAAUACGGAGGGUGCAAGCGUUAUCCGGAUUCACUGGGUUUAAAGGGUGCGUAGGUGGGUUGGUAAGUCAGUGGUGAAAUCUCCAGGCUUAACUUGGAAACUGCCAUUGAUACUAUCAAUCUUGAAUACCGUGGAGAUCAGCGGAAUAUGUCAUGUAGCGGUGAAAUGCUUAGAUAUGACAUAGAACACCAAUUGCGAAGGCAGCUGGUUACACGAAUAUUGACACUGAUGCACGAAAGCGUGGGGAUCAAAACAGGAUUAGAUACCCUGGUAGUCCACGCCCUAAACGAUGGAUACUCGACAUACGCGAUAUACUGUGUGUGUCUGAGCGAAGCAUUAAGUAUCCCACCUGGGAAGUACGAUCGCAGAUUGAA
rnacentral:rRNA from 1 species